ensembl:lncRNA
CGGUUCCUCAUCUGCACACGGCAGGACUGAACUGGGACAUAGUCUGAGGCCCCUGUUGCAUCUCACAUCCUGGGGCUCGUUCCAUAGCCUGUCUCUCUCUCUCUCUCUCUCUGUCUCAGAUACCAAGGACUCCAGGAACUAAGAAAAGAUACUCCUCAUUUAAACGAACCCCCAUCAUAAAACCCCAUCAUUCUCCACUUGCUGAAAAGAACUCUAAAGCAGCAAAUCAAGCUCAACCAAACAGAACAUGCCAGGGAUCCUUAGCUGAAAAUCGACAUCUCGAUCACAAGCCACUCUCUGGGAUUUUUACUCCAAAAGUCUGGUUUGAUGAGAGGAAUUCUCGCUCUUCUGACUCCAGUCAUGAUAAGUCGCGGAGGCAGCCAAUGCCCGGACCACACGCCCUUGUGAGACACCUUCAGUCUGGCUCCUCUCCAUUCCAUCCUGCGGAUAAGCGGAGGCUGGAGCAACGUGGCAAUAGACCCCAUGUCCAACUGGACAUUCUGGGCCACCCGCUGGGCUGUGCCAGGAGCAGACAGCAUUAACUACGCAGCGUUCUUGCUGAAGAGGCUUAGCCUGAAUCUGAGCACGAGGUAGGGAUCGGACAACUGCAGAAUUUCGACCAUGGAACAAGACAUCGGGCCUGUCUUUCUUCAAACAGCCAGUGUCCACAGCACAAAUAAGACGACAAAAGGAGAAGAGAUAUCUUGGGUUCCAAAGGACUCAGAAGAUUGUGCUAUCGUAAUUUUGUAGUCCUUUCGAACCCCAAACAUCUCCUCACCUUUCUGUGGCUGUCUCUGGUGGUGUGACACUUCCUUGUCUGUAGGGGACAGGCCAGAUGUCUGGCUUGAUGGUCUACAUCCUGAAGGUGUCUGAUCACUUCCUCCUGAUUAAAUUCAGGCUAACCUUUUUUCCCAGGCGUUCCCUAGUGAAUGCUGUGUUGUCCAGCUCCGCCCACCCAGAGACCCAGAGCGUCCAGUCUGCCAUCACCAUCAUUGUGAGAGCAGCACUGGUUGCCUUCUAUGGGGGCCUAUCAGAUCGUUCAUGGUCUUCUGUUUGGGUGUGACUCUGAGAAUGUGCGAAGAUGCUCUCUCUAAAGUCUGUCUCUACAAUGUUACCAUCUUUUAGUGAUCCCUGCAGUGUGUCACAACCGUAUCUGUUUGUAUGUUGGAAAAACUCUAGUUGUAUCAUCCUUGUGUAUGUGUAUUUGCUGGCAUUGUGCUGUGGAAAAGAACACUCCCUCCCCGUUCUAUAUCAUUAAAGUGUUUAUUUUGACAAUCACUGGGGACUGGUGAAUUACGUUUCCUUCAGGGCUCCAAUCCAUCACCAUCGUGAUGUAAAUGUUCUUGGUUCUCUUCUGGUAUUUAAUGCUGAGUCUCUGUAUCUUUUAGGCUCUAUUUGCCCCUACGGGUAAGAGUACAUAUGUGUUUCUGAAUGUGCAUCUGUUGUUUAGAAAGGUUGUAUAUGUAGGACUGAACACUGCAUCACAAGUGCGGGACAUGUUUGUUUCUGUAUUACCUUGUGAAACUUGUCACAUCGCCAUUCUAAGAUUUAAACGAUCUCGGGGUGACUGGGUGGCUCAGCAGGUUGAGGGUCCAACUUUGGCUCAGGUCAUGGCCUAGCGGUUCAUGAGUUUGAGCCCCGCAUCGAGCUCUGUGCUGUCAGCACAGAACCACCUUCAGAUUCUCCGUCCUCCCCCCGUCUGCCCUUCUCCCGCUUGCAUGCUCUCUCUCUUAAAAUAAAUAACCACAGGGUCACCUGGGUGGCUCA